rnacentral:tRNA from 1 species
CAGGGAAUAGUUUAAUUAGAAUUUCAGCUUUGGGUGCUGAUGGUGGAGUCAGUCUCCUUCCUUGA